CCUACGGGGUGCAGCAGUGGGGAAUAUUGGACAAUGGGCGAAAGCCUGAUCCAGCCAUGCCGCGUGUGUGAAGAAGGCCUUCGGGUUGUAAAGCACUUUCAGUGGGGAAGAAAGCCUUGGGGCUAAUACCCUCGAGGAAGGACAUCACCCACAGAAGAAGCACCGGCUAACUCCGUGCCAGCAGCCGCGGUAAUACGGAGGGUGCGAGCGUUAAUUGGAAUUACUGGGCGUAAAGCGCGCGUAGGCGGUCUGAUAAGCCGGUUGUGAAAGCCCCGGGCUCAACCUGGGAACGGCAUCCGGAACUGUCAGGCUAGAGUGCAGGAGAGGAAGGUAGAAUUCACGGUGUAGCGGUGAAAUGCGUAGAGAUCGGGAGGAAUACCAGUGGCGAAGGCGGCCUUCUGGACUGACACUGACGCUGAGGUGCGAAAGCGUGGGUAGCAAACAGGAUUAGAUACCCCUGUAGUC
rnacentral:rRNA from 1 species